AUGCCGCUGCGGCCAGGCAGUAACCGCGCGGCCGCCCUGCUGCUCGUCCUGCACUGCUGCUGCGCCCCGCUCCUCUUCCCUCCGCCGGCGGCCGCCGCCCACGGGCAUCAUCCGGCAGGGGACGGCGUCGUGAUCAGCGAGGCGGACCGGCAGGGCCUGCAGGCCAUCAAGGGGGACCUCUCGGACCCCCGCGGCUUCCUCCGCUCCUGGAACGCCACCGGCCUCGGCGGCGCCUGCUCUGGCGCCUGGACGGGGAUCAAGUGCGUCAACGGCAACGUCGUCGCCAUCACGCUCCCCUGGCGCGGCCUCGCCGGCACCCUCUCCGCGCGCGGGCUCGGCCAGCUCACCCAGCUCCGCCGCCUCAGCCUCCACGACAACGCCAUCGCCGGGGCCGUCCCCAGCUCGCUCGGCUUCCUCCCCGACCUCCGCGGCCUCUACCUCUUCAACAACCGCUUCUCCGGCGCCGUCCCGCCCGAGAUCGGCCGCUGCCUCGCGCUGCAGUCGUUCGACGCUAGCAGUAAUCUCCUCACCGGCGUCCUCCCGGCCUCGAUUGCCAACUCCACCAAGCUCAUCCGUCUCAACCUCAGCCGCAACGCCAUCUCCGGCGAGGUCCCCGCGGAGGUCGUCGGCUCCUCGUCGCUCCUCUUCCUCGACCUCUCGUACAACAAGCUCUCCGGCCGCAUCCCCGACUCUUUCGGGGGCGGAUCCAAGGCGCCGUCCUCGUCCUCGCGGAAAGAAGCCGUCACUGGGAGCUACCAGCUCGUCUUUCUCGGCCUCGCGCACAACUCGCUCGACGGGCCGGUGCCGGAGUCGCUUGCCGGGCUCAGCAAGCUGCAGGAGCUUGACCUGGCCGGCAACAACCUCAACGGCUCCAUCCCCGCCCAGCUGGGCUCGCUUCACGACCUCAAGGCGCUCGACCUCUCGGGCAACGCGCUCGCCGGAGAGAUCCCGGAGAGCCUCGGGAACCUCACCGCAACGCUCAAGUUCUUCAACGUCUCCUACAACAACCUCUCCGGCGCGGUGCCGGCCUCGCUCGCCCAGAAGUUUGGCCCCACCUCCUUCGCCGGUAACAUACUGCUCUGCGGCUACUCUGCUUCUUCGCCGCCCUGCCCCGUGUCCCCGUCUCCGGCGCCGGCGUCAACCUCGCAGGGGGCAACCGGGCGCCACGGCCUCCGCAAGUUCAGCACCAAGGAGCUGGCAUUGAUCAUCGCCGGGAUCGUGAUCGGCGUCCUCAUCCUGCUGUCGCUCUGCUGCCUCCUGCUCUGCUUACUGACAAGGAAGAAGAAGUCCAGCACUGGCACCGGAGCACGGAGCGGGAAGCAGGCGUCAAGCAAGGACGCCGCCGGCGCCGGCGCCGCUGCUGCAGCUGCCGGGCGAGGCGAGAAGCCGGGGGCGUCCGAGGCGGAGUCCGGCGGCGACGUGGGCGGCAAGCUGGUGCACUUCGACGGGCCGCUGGCGUUCACGGCCGACGACCUGCUGUGCGCCACCGCGGAGAUCAUGGGGAAGAGCACGUACGGCACGGUGUACAAGGCGACGCUGGAGGACGGUAGCCUGGUGGCCGUGAAGCGGCUGCGGGAGAAGAUCACCAAGGGGCAGAAGGAGUUCGAGGCGGAGGCGGCGGCGCUCGGCAAGGUCCGGCAUCCCAACCUGCUCUCGCUCAGGGCCUACUACCUCGGCCCCAAGGGGGAGAAGCUGCUCGUCUUCGAUUACAUUCCCAAGGGCAGCCUCUCCGCCUUCUUGCACGCUCGAGCUCCCAACACGCCGGUGGACUGGGCGACGAGGAUGGCGAUCGCCAAGGGGACGGCCCGCGGGCUCGCCUACCUCCACGACGACAUGAACAUCCUCCACGGCAACCUCACCGGCAGCAACGUGCUCCUCGACGACGACUCCAGCCCCAAGAUCGCCGACAUCGGGCUGUCCCGCCUCAUGACGGCCGCGGCCAACUCGAGCGUGCUCGCCGCGGCGGGCGCGCUGGGGUACCGCGCGCCGGAGCUGUCCAAGCUCAAGAAGGCCAGCGGCAAGACGGACGUGUACAGCCUCGGCGUCAUCAUCCUGGAGCUCCUCACCGGCAAGUCCCCCGCCGACACGACCAACGGCAUGGACCUGCCGCAGUGGGUGGGGUCCAUCGUGAAGGAGGAGUGGACCAACGAGGUGUUCGACCUGGAGCUGAUGCGGGACACGGCCGCCGGCCCGGAGGGGGACGAGCUCAUGGACACGCUCAAGCUCGGGCUGCAGUGCGUCGAGGCCUCGCCGUCGGCCCGGCCCGAGGCGCGGGAGGUGCUGCGGCAGCUUGAGGAGAUCCGGCCCGGGCCGGAGGGCGGCGCCGGCGCCGGACCGAGCGAGGAAGGCCAUGUUGGUUCUGCAAGCAACGAGUAG
rnacentral:rRNA from 1 species